rnacentral:rRNA from 1 species
ACGAACGCUGGCGGCGUGCCUAAUACAUGCAAGUCGAGCGAACUGAUGAGAAGCUUGCUCUUAAGAUGUAGCGGCGGACGGGUGAGUAACACGUGGGCAACCUGCCCUAUAGUUGGGGAUAACUCCGGGAAACCGGGGCUAAUACCGAAUGAUUCAUUUCAUCUCCUGAUGAAAUGCUGAAAGAUGGUUCUGCUAUCGCUAUAGGAUGGGCCCGCGGCGCAUUAGCUAGUUGGUGAGGUAACGGCUCACCAAGGCGACGAUGCGUAGCCGACCUGAGAGGGUGAUCGGCCACACUGGGACUGAGACACGGCCCAGACUCCUACGGGAGGCAGCAGUAGGGAAUCUUCCACAAUGGGCGAAAGCCUGAUGGAGCAACGCCGCGUGAGUGAAGAAGGUUUUCGGAUCGUAAAACUCUGUUGUAAGGGAAGAACAAGUACAGUAGUAACUGGCUGUACCUUGACGGUACCUUAUUAGAAAGCCACGGCUAACUACGUGCCAGCAGCCGC